rnacentral:rRNA from 1 species
UACGGAGGGGGCUAGCGUUGUUCGGAAUUACUGGGCGUAAAGCGCACGUAGGCGGCUUUCUAAGUCGGGGGUGAAAUCCUGGAGCUCAACUCCAGGACUGCCUUCGAUACUGGAAAGCUCGAGUCCGGGAGAGGUGAGUGGAACUGCGAGUGUAGAGGUGAAAUUCGUAGAUAUUCGCAAGAACACCAGUGGCGAAGGCGGCUCACUGGCCCGGUACUGACGCUGAGGUGCGAAAGCGUGGGGAGCAAACAGG